UUUGUGGAGAGUUUGAUCCUGGCUCAGGACGAACGCUGGCGGCGUGCUUAACACAUGCAAGUCGAACGGAAAGGCCUCUUGCUUGCAAGCUUGCU
rnacentral:rRNA from 1 species